UACGGAGGGUGCAAGCGUUAUCCGGAUUCACUGGGUUUAAAGGGUGCGUAGGUGGAUCGGUAAGUCCGUGGUGAAAUCCCCGAGCUUAACUCGGGAACUGCCGUGGACACUACCGAUCUUGAAUACUGUGGAGGUAAGCGGAAUAUGUCAUGUAGCGGUGAAAUGCUUAGAUAUGACAUAGAACACCGAUAGCGAAGGCAGCUUGCUACACAGUUAUUGACACUGAGGCACGAAAGCGUGGGGAGCAAACAGG
rnacentral:rRNA from 1 species